UACGUAGGUGGCAAGCGUUGUCCGGAUUUACUGGGCGUAAAGGGCGUGCAGGCGGUCUGUUAAGUGCAGGGUGAAAGCCCCCGGCUCAACUGGGGAGGGUCACGCGAUACUGAUCGACUGGAAGGCAGGAGAGGGUAGUGGAAUUCCCGGUGUAGUGGUGAAAUGCGUAGAUAUCGGGAGGAACACCAGUGGCGAAGGCGACUACCUGGCCUGUUCUUGACGCUGAGGCGCGAAAGCUAGGGGAGCAAACGGGG
rnacentral:rRNA from 1 species